AAUCAACGCUGGCGGCGUGCCUCAGACAUGCAAGUCGAACGAUUAAAGCUCUCUUCGGAGAGUGUAUAGAGUGGCGCACGGGUGAGUAACACGUAAGUAAUCUACCUUUGAGUGGGGAAUAACCCGGGGAAACCCGAGCUAAUACCGCAUAAUGCAGCGGCACCGCAAGGUGACAGUUGUUAAAGGAGCAAUCCGCUUAAAGAGGAGCUUGCGGCAGAUUAGCUAGUGGUAAGGUAAUGGCUUACCAAGGCUUCGAUCUGUGUCCGGCCUGAGAGGGCGGUCGGACACACUGACACUGAAUAACGGGUCAGACUCCUACGGGAGGCAGCAGUCGGGAAUUUUGGGCAAUGGGCGAAAGCCUGACCCAGCAACGCCGCGUGAAGGAUGAAGUAUUUCGGUAUGUAAACUUCGAAAGAAUGGGAAGAAUCAAUGACGGUACCAUUUAUAAGGUCCGGCUAACUACGUGCCAGCAGCCG
rnacentral:rRNA from 1 species